AGUGAACGCUGGCGGUAGGCCUAACACAUGCAAGUCGAACGGCAGCACAGUAAGAGCUUGCUCUUACGGGUGGCGAGUGGCGGACGGGUGAGGAAUACAUCGGAAUCUACUUUUUCGUGGGGGAUAACGUAGGGAAACUUACGCUAAUACGGCAUACGACCUACGGGUGAAAGCAGGGGAUCUUCGGACCUUGCGCGAUUGAAUGAGCCGAUGUCGGAUUAGCUAGUUGGCGGGGUAAAGGCCCACCAAGGCGACGAUCCGUAGCUGGUCUGAGAGGAUGAUCAGCCACACUGGAACUGAGACACGGUCCAGACUCCUACGGGAGGCAGCAGUGGGGAAUAUUGGCAAUGGGCGCAAGCCUGAUCCAGCCAUACCGCGUGGGUGAAGAAGGCCUUCGGGUUGUAAAGCCCUUUUGUUGGGAAAGAAAAGCAGCAGGUUAAUACCCCGCUGUUCUGACGGUACCCAAAGAAUAAGCACCGGCUAACUUCGUA
rnacentral:rRNA from 1 species